AUUGGAAGUGAUGAGUAGACUAUAUUGUUUCCCUAUUGGUUUGAUCACCGAUAUGAUGGUGCAAUUGUAUUAGCUCUAUCUGAUCCAUU
rfam:Daucus carota subsp. sativus cultivar DH1 chromosome 5, whole genome shotgun sequence.